CCCUGUAUUUAAGGCGAUCUACGGCUCUAUUCUAUCUUGUCCGUUGGUUUCCGGUACCAGAAGUCGCAGGUUCGAAUCCUGCCGGGGGCACCA
rnacentral:tRNA from 1 species